UACAGAAUUAUUACCACAUUAUUGAUUAUAUUCCCUAUGCUAAAGAAGUGAUCACUGUGAUUCUGCCAUUUUCCACUCAGGAGAAUAUUUGGCUGUACUUUGAAGGAGGUCUCAAAGAGUAAUGAAGAAGAUGGCAAGAGGAUCGAGAGACAAGUGGAAAAUUAAGGGGUUCUGGGCAAAACAGGGAAGUGCAGCAAGGAGUUGAGGAGCCCGGGCCUCAGAGCCCGCAGCUGACCUAAAAGCUACGCUGGAGGGGCAAGCUCCUUCCCAAGUCACUGAAGUUCGUCCUGGCUGUCCUCCAUCACUCCUGUUUCCCCACAGCCUGACUUCUAAAUGUGGAUUGUGAUUUUUUUAAGUCCUGCAUUUGCUUUCUAACUUUGGUAAAAAGCUGUAGACUGGAGCAAAAUGAUCUGUCGAAGGAAUUUAAAGGUAAAUUUAUUCCAGUACACAAUUUCAUAUCCUAAGACAAAGGAAAAGUGACCAUCGAGAGAGAAGACGGGCCCACGGGCAGCAGAACUUGGCAUCGUGUUCCUUGCAUGAACUGAAGUCACUGCUGGUUACCAGAAGUGUUUCAUUCAUACCUGAUGACUCUGCUACUGAAGUACAGAAGAUAAAAGCUUAAGAUGGGCACCGGGAAUGUUAUUGAAGACUCUGUAAUCUGUGUUGUGUUUGCCUAUUGACAGAUAUGUUUUGUAUGUAGAG